rnacentral:rRNA from 1 species
ACGCUCGACACCUACGGGAGACAGCAGUGGGGAAUAUUGGGCAAUGGGCGCAAGCCUGACCCAGCAACGCCGCGUGAAGGAUGAAGGCUUUCGGGUUGUAAACUUCUUUUAUCAGGGACGAAACAAAUGACGGUACCUGAUGAAUAAGCCACGGCUAACUACGUGCCAACAGCCGCGGUAAUCUGAGCGGGCUGGCAAGGC